rnacentral:rRNA from 1 species
UACGGGGGGGGCAAGCGUUGUUCGGAAUUACUGGGCGUAAAGGGUUUGUAGGUGGCCGAUUAAGUCAUACGUGAAAUCCCUCAGCUUAACUGGGGAACUGCGUCUGAUACUGGUUGGCUUGAGUGCAGGAGAGGAACGCGGAAUUCCAGGUGUAGCGGUGAAAUGCGUAGAUAUCUGGAGGAACACCGGUGGCGAAGGCGGCCCACUGGCUCGACACUGACGCUGAGGUGCGAAAGCGUGGGGAGCAAACAGG